rnacentral:rRNA from 1 species
GUGAACGCUGGCGGUGGGCCUAACACAUGCAAGUCGAACGGCAGCACAGUAAGAGCUUGCUCUUACGGGUGGCGAGUGGCGGACGGGUGAGGAAUACAUCGGAAUCUACUUUUUCGUGGGGGAUAACGUAGGGAAACUUACGUUAAUACCGCAUACGACCUACGGGUGAAAGCAGGGGAUCUUCGGACCUUGCGCGAUUGAAUGAGCCGAUGUCGGAUUAGCUAGUUGGCGGGGUAAAGGCCCACCAAGGCGACGAUCCGUAGCUGGUCUGAGAGGAUGAUCAGCCACACUGGAACUGAGACACGGUCCAGACUCCUACGGGAGGCAGCAGUGGGGAAUAUUGGACAAUGGGCGCAAGCCUGAUCCAGCCAUACCGCGUGGGUGAAGAAGGCCUUCGGGUUGUAAAGCCCUUUUGUUGGGAAAGAAAAGCAGCAGGUUAAUACCCCGCUGUUCUGACGGUACCCAAAGAAUAAGCACCGGCUAACUUCGUG